GGCCUUGUAGUGUAAUGGUCAACACGCUCGAUACAUGUGGCCGUAUGAAUAAAUUUCACAUGAUCGAGAAUUACGAGUUCGACCCUCGUCAAGGAAU